rnacentral:rRNA from 1 species
AUGCAAGUCGAACGGUAACAGGUCUUCGGAUGCUGACGAGUGGCGAACGGGUGAGUAAUACAUCGGAACGUGCCCGAGAGUGGGGGAUAACGAGGCGAAAGCUUUGCUAAUACCGCAUACGAUCUCAGGAUGAAAGCAGGGGACCGCAAGGCCUUGCGCUCACGGAGCGGCCGAUGGCAGAUUAGGUAGUUGGUGGGAUAAAAGCUUACCAAGCCGACGAUCUGUAGCUGGUCUGAGAGGACGACCAGCCACACUGGGACUGAGACACGGCCCAGACUCCUACGGGAGGCAGCAGUGGGGAAUUUUGGACAAUGGGCGCAAGCCUGAUCCAGCCAUGCCGCGUGCAGGAUGAAGGCCUUCGGGUUGUAAACUGCUUUUGUACGGAACGAAAAGACUCCUUCUAAUAAAGGGGGUCCAUGACGGUACCGU